rnacentral:rRNA from 1 species
UGGGGAAUAUUGCACAAUGGACGGAAGUUUGAUGCAGCGACGCCGCGUGGAGGGUGUAGGCCUUCGGGUUGUGAACUCCUUUUUCUCGCGAAAAAGGCACAGUUUUGGCUGUGUUGAUGGUAGUGGGGGAAGAAGCGCCGGCUAACUACGUGCCAGCAGCCGCGGUAAUACGUAGGGCGCGAGCGUUGUCCGGAUUUAUUGGGCGUAAAGAGCUCGUAGGUGGUUCGUCGGGUCUGUCGUGAAAGCCGGCAGCUUAACUGUUGGUCUGCGGUGGGUACGGGCGGGCUUGAGUGCGGUAGGGGUGACUGGAAUUCCUGGUGUAGCGGUGGAAUGCGCAGAUAUCAGGAGGAACACCGAUGGCGAAGGCAGGUCACUGGGCCGUUACUGACACUGAGGAGCGAAAGCGUGGGGAGCGAACAGG